AAUACGUUCCCGGACCUUGCACACACCGCCCGUCAAGCCAUGGAAGCUGGGUGUACCUAAAGUCGGUAAUCGUAAGGAGCCGCCUAGGGUAAAACUAGUGACUGGGGCU
rnacentral:rRNA from 1 species